rnacentral:rRNA from 1 species
AGUGAACGCUGGCGGUAGGCCUAACACAUGCAAGUCGAACGGCAGCACAGUAAGAGCUUGCUCUUACGGGUGGCGAGUGGCGGACGGGUGAGGAAUACAUCGGAAUCUACUUUUUCGUGGGGGAUAACGUAGGGAAACUUACGCUAAUACCGCAUACGACCUACGGGUGAAAGCAGGGGAUCUUCGGACCUUGCGCGAAUGAAUGAGCCGAUGUCGGAUUAGCUAGUUGGCGGGGUAAAGGCCCACCAAGGCGACGAUCCGUAGCUGGUCUGAGAGGAUGAUCAGCCACACUGGAACUGAGACACGGUCCAGACUCCUACGGGAGGCAGCAGUGGGGAAUAUUGGACAAUGGGCGCAAGCCUGAUCCAGCCAUACCGCGUGGGUGAAGAAGGCCUCCGGGUUGUAAAGCCCUUUUGUUGGGAAAGAAAAGCAGCAGGUUAAUACCCCGCUGUUCUGACGGUACCCAAAGAAUAAGCACCGGCUAACUUCGUG